AUGCCUGGACUACCUAUUUGUAAUGAAUUAAACGCAAAUGAAAAAGCCAACAAAAGGAUGCUUCGGGUCCUGUGGAAAAACAUAAAAAUCGACUUAAAGAAGACAAUUGCAGUUGCUCGUAGGGAGAGUUUCAAGACUGGUGGCAGACUCCCAUUAAGACCGGAGACAAAUGAGCUGGGGGAUUUGAUGACCGUGAUCAUUGAUAGCCAGCAACCCCUGGAAGGUAUCUCCGAUGAUGACCAUUUGGACAGUUCAGAUUGGGGACCUUUCCAAUCCUCAUUUGGUAGGACACAUUCAUUCAACAUGUGCCACACCCCAGACUGCAGGGAAAAUUGAAUGUUGUCAGUCAUCUCUUGGACUCCCAAAAUAAAAAUGAUGUAUUGAACUCAACCCUUGAAGAAAUAGUGUUCUCUAAUGCAGCAAUGUAAUCAUUUUCAUUGUAGUGUUUGAGAGAUAAGCAGGAUGUUACUAUGCACACCUGGUUAAAAUGGAGUGCAUGUGUUCAGUGCGUGAUAUUGGAAAUGUGUAUCUGAUUGGAUGCGCAUAGUUUUUUUGGCAGGCCCUCAUUGGUUGUUGGCCAAGGUAUUCAAGUGUGCUCCCUUUGAAUGGGUACAGAUGGACUCAGUUUGGAACCGGCUAUGUUGAAUCCGCAGUCAUGUUGGGAAAAAAAACAUCUUUGUGAUGUUAACGCUUUAUACUGUCAAGUUUCUAUUUGCAAAUAACUAAAAAUGACCUGCUUCCUUUUACUGGGGAUGCAACAGAUUGGCGACAAGGAACCAGAAUUUUUGUCUGAAGGGGAACAUAGCGAGCAAGAAAGUGCUAGCUCCAUCGAGACAGUCUGUGUGAAAAGUUAGCGCUGAAGAUGGCAUUCGGCAAUGCCGAGGAAAGUGAGGAAAGUUUCAAAGCCUAUUUGGAAAGGUUAGAACAGUAUUUAGAGGCUAUUGGGCUCAAGUACAAAAAAAGUAUAAAUCCAUUUUUCAGACGAUUAUUGACAGAAAGACCCACAAUUUGUUAGUGGACUUAUUUGCGCCAGAGAACCUCAAUGAAAAAACGUUGACAGUUGUUUGCCCUGUUGAAAAGUCACAACAUACCGAGGACAAUUUUUAUUGCUGAAAUAUGCACGUUUCAUGCAAGAAGUCAACUCGAGGGAGAGUCGAUUAGUGAGUACUUGGUUUAAGAAAAUGAUCAGUUUCUUGAGUCAUUUACGUGAUAGAUUUGUGUGAGGUGUUAAAGGUGCAGAGCUGAGAAACCGUUAACUGAACGUAGCUCACAAAAAAGACUUAACAGUAGCACUUGCUGUGGAUAUGGAAUUUUCUUUUUAAGUAACACACACAUACACACACACACACACACAGGAUAACUUUUUAAAGGAGAACAGGAUACAUUAACAGAGCAGCUGUCAUAUUUCGCUCUAUUCAACCCUUUUUGAAGAAUGUCCUUCUUCUGCAAUUUCAACCACUUUCAGGGCAAAUUGAUUUGCCAUCAUCUCAAAGUCAACCUCUCCCUCUCAUGGCAUUGUUUAAUUGAGGAGCUAAUUCUGAGAGUAAUAUUUUGUUAGUUAAUGUUUGUUUCUCUUAGAUGUUAUAUAUUAUGGAAAUACAAUGAGAGUUAAGUGGAAGGGGAUGUUUAGUUAAUGAAACACAUUAUUUUUUAUCUAUGAUCAAAUGGUCUUUCCUGAAGAAUGCCUAUAAAUAUUCCACGGAAUAUGAAUAAAGGUUUUACCCAUCAUUUUCCCAAGAAGCCAACUGAUUUACACAUGACCUAUUGGCUUUGUUCUUAUGUUAUGAACUCUAGUAAUUGGAUGUUCACCUUGCUCUCCUCUUUUUGAAAAAACACAUUGUUUAGGACCAGCACAAUAUUUUUAUAACAUGGGUUGUAACGUACAGUCUGUGUGUGUGUGUGUGCGAUAAGGGAGCAGCAGGUAGCUGUUGAUUCAAUCAGAAAACCAUUUUCUCUCUUGGUGCAGGAUAGAAUCUGUCUUCAGGCUAAUGUCCCUGUGCAAACAUCGACAGUUUGUUUGUUUUGUGUGUGUCUGUACGCCGGUGCGUCCGUGCAUCCGUGUGUAUCACAGCUUCCGUCGCACUUUGCUCCCAUUGGGUUUGCAGAAUUUCCAUUGUGUCAUUUUCAUCAUUCUGGAAUGAUCCUUUAUUUUCCCCAGUCUAACUGACCGGUAAUACCAAUGUUUUCAGUAGUUAUUCUUUUCUUAGACCACGUCUACAACUGUCCUAUUAGACCAUGUCUCUUUGACCAGAUCUCUAACGGCCCUCGUAGAACAAAAAUGUAGAUCUCCGCCAAAAUAGACACACCCAAAAGUAAUUAGUCUUUCCUCUGUCACGUCUGUCCGUGUGCUUGAUCCUAAAGGGUCGCUAGCAAUGGUGGAUAAUAUUUAACAUAUUAGUUGUUCAAUAGUAUGGGACAUGUAGCCCACUUCAUGGAAUCAUCAUGGAAAGCAGAUCAAGUCUGGCAGUUUAAACCUGGAGCCUGCCACAUGGUUUAUGAAGACUGGA
rnacentral:lncRNA from 13 species